GCCCUGGUGGCACAACGGUUAAGCGUUUAGCUGCUAACUGAAAGGUUGGUGGUUUGAAUCCAUCCAGCAGUU
rnacentral:tRNA from 1 species